UACGUAGGGUGCAAGCGUUAAUCGGAAUUACUGGGCGUAAAGCGUGCGCAGGCGGCUAUGUAAGACAGUUGUGAAAUCCCCGGGCUCAACCUGGGAACUGCAUCUGUGACUGCAUAGCUAGAGUACGGUAGAGGGGGAUGGAAUUCCGCGUGUAGCAGUGAAAUGCGUAGAUAUGCGGAGGAACACCGAUGGCGAAGGCAAUCCCCUGGACCUGUACUGACGCUCAUGCACGAAAGCGUGGGGAGCAAACAGG
rnacentral:rRNA from 1 species